GUAAAAUUAAAACAAAAUAGAGGUGGAAACUUAGAAUUAGGGUGCCAAAACACAAUCAUUUGCCUCAACAGAUUCGCAACGGAGCCCUUUUUGCGAUCCCAGCCACGAUCCCGGCAUUGAAGGUCUCACUCCCCCAGUCCAUCUUCUCCACUCCAACCUAUAUUCUCCAUCUCCAAAACCAUAACCGGAUCAUUACAUAGGAUGGAUCACCAAAUAUGGAAGAUGUUUUGUUCGUCGAUUCAAAAAAAUGAGAAUGUUGACGAUAAAGUGAUUGCCCUGGAAGAUGAAACGGUAAGUGGAGUUGGAUUGACUGCGUCUAAGAUUGGUGUGCAGUUCAAGGAAGAAAAGGAAGUGUAUGAUUUUUACGCAAGCUAUGCUUAUGCUAUAGGUUUUUGAGUUAGAAAGAAGAGUUCGAUGAGUGAUGAUGAUGUUGUUUUGAGAUUUUCACGUUAACCUGUAGUCGGAAGGAAAGAAGAAGUGGUAAUACAAGAUAUCCAUGGUUACUGGAAAAUUGGCACCGUUUACCCUGACCACAAUCAUAAGACAAGCCCUACUAAGUCCAUAUUGUAUGGAUGCAACCAAAAAUUGAGUUAACACAUGAAAUGGAAGCUCGAAGUGAAUAAUAUAGCUGGAAUACCAUUGCAUAAAAGAUUUAACUCCGCAGUUGUUGAAGUUCGAAAUAUCUCCUAAGGGAGCUUUGAUGUAAAAAUGUUUAGUGCGAGCACAAAUUUAGUUGGUUAUGAGACUUGAUUAAGUGGAAUUGUAUGGUGUAUUGAUUGAAAAAGUGAUUAUUGCUUAUCACUGUUCCUUAAUUUGAAAUAUUAUGUAUCAUGUUUUGUUUUGUGGAAAAUCAUGUCCUGAGCAGUGUGAUGGAAUAAGAUAGAACCAUUUUAAACU